GCCUGGGUGGCUCAGUCGGUUGAGCAUCUGACUUCAGCUCGGGUCAUGAUCUCGUGGUCUGUGGGUUCGAGCCCCACAUCAGGCU
rnacentral:tRNA from 1 species